rnacentral:rRNA from 1 species
GGAAGAGCCCAGCACCGAAGCCUGCGGCAGGUUUGCUGUUAGGCAAUGUGGUGUGCGGGUCGGCUGUCUGCGGGAUCGUCACUCCACUCGAAGUCCAGCAUUGAGUAUGGUUAUCACUGGAUUUGGCCCAUAGAGGGUGAGAGGCCCGUACGGGUGGAGGUUCAGACAUGUGAGACGGUUCACCAGGUCGACCUCAGAGUCGGGUUGUUUGAGAUUGCAGCCCAAAGUGGGUGGUAAACUCCAUCCAAGGCUAAAUACAGGCAUGAGUCCGAUAGCGAACAAGUACCGUGAGGGAAAGUUGAAAAGUACUCUGAAGAGAGAGUAAACAGCACGUGAAGCCGCAUACAGGUAAACGGGUGGCGUCAAGCUGCGAGCCUCGAGGAUUCAGCUGACUGGGUUGUAGUGUGCGCGCCUGGUGCGUCGAGUGGCCGGAGUAAGUUGGGGUAGUUCGUUCCUAUGCUGGGAAUGAGGUGCGGUUGGUGUGUGCAUGCAUGCCAACUGUCACUAUGCGUGCCGGGUGGGUGCCGGUGCAUGCUACCUAUCUGUGGGGCCGUCUGGUCAGUGCACUUCCUUGAUGGUGAACACCACGACCGGUGGAAUUGUCAGUCUGCUAUGGUCAAGUUGUGUUUCUUCCCUCCUGGUAGCCCGUGUUGUCCGCCCCGCGCAAGCGUGGAAGGCAGGCGGGUCAGGAGGACACGAUCGCAGGUGGUUUGGAUGGACGGCGCGUUGGUGCCUCGGUGCUGUCGCGUGUUAUCGUGCAUCCACUACUGUGAGCGAGUGUCAAGCCUACUGUGACUGGGUUUGGCGUCUCGGCGGACCAUGGUGGUGAAAGUGACUGUACAAGGCAUCGGAGUUGUCCACCUCAUUACUACGGUAUCAGGUACGCGCGUUACAGGCGUCACUGAUUGGGGUCAGCGUCACUGUCUGUGGGCACUGGAUCUGAUUGUCGUGUUGCCUGCGCAAAGUAGGUCCGGCAGUGGUUGCGGGUGCCUUGCAGUAUGCAGUGUGCGCUCUCCUCAUGUGCCUAUUGGUACCGGGGGUGAAAUAGUCUGUGGUGCUGUGGUAGACGAGCUACCCGACCCGUCUUGAAACACGGACCAAGGAGUUUAACAUGUCUGCGAGUCAAAGGGUCCUACGAAACCCAGAGGCGCAGUGAAAGUGAACCUCGUGUUACACGGAUGCACACUUACGCGGUGUAGCACGAUGUGGUGAGAUCCCACCGUUUGCCGCUGUAGUCAGGUGUUUGUUACCAGGCCAAGGGCGGUGGGCGCAUCACCGGCCCGUCCCAUGAUGUGGUCAUAGGUGUUCACUGGUGCGGUUGUUGUCGUCUCGGCGGCGGCUACUACACUUUUGAACGGUCUGUGCGUCAUCGGGGCGGAGCAUGAGCAGGCAUGUUGAGACCCGAAAGAUGGUGAACUAUGCUCGCGUAGGUUGAAGCCAGAGGAAACUCUGGUGGAGGACCGUA